GGAAGAACCCUCCAUGGUGUAGGAGAGCUUUAGCAAAUGUAGCAGUGUGAUGUUAUUACACUAGAUUGUAAAGUGAGAAGCUAUUCCGGUAGGAAAUUAUAUGAGCACCGACAGCUUUUAUUUUGAAAAGACGACCAAUCCAUUUCAAAACAGUGGGUAACUUCCUGUCCCAAAAUUAUUAUCUUUAUCCAAAUUUAAUAUGUUGUGAAUAAAACUGUGAAUUAUUACCUUUAAUGUUUAACAUAUUGAGUUCAUAGAUUGUUGUUUAAAGUAUCAGUUCGAAAAUUAAAAAAAGAAAAGUUAUCGGGUCAUACCAUUAUAAUCUGUGAAAGGUUUUCCCACGCUUUCCGUCGCGCUCUUUCUGUUCGGAUUCCGUGGGAGAAGGUAUGAAGUUUUGCUUUUUGUGUUUAAUAAGUGUAUUUUAAGGGUAAUAAGUGUUAGUUUUAUUACUGGUUUUGUAAAACAAUGGGUGUUGAAGCACUUAACCUGCAGUUAGCAGUUAUCUAGCUGCUCUUCUGAUACAUGAAACAUUGCUUCAUCCAUGUGCUGAAAAUAGUAUUGUUCAUGAUUAAACAGGCGCUGUGGAACACUGUGAAAAGAAAAGCCUGUUCUUGAGUACUAUUUUCUGCCAUUUGAAUGCAGGUAAAUGUGCUACUUUACACAAGUCACACGCUCUUUCUGUUCGGAUCCCGUGGGAGAAGGCGCUGUGGAACACUGUGAAAAGAAAAGCCUGUUCUUGAGUACUAUUUUCUGCCAUUUGAAUGCAGGAUCAUUAAAAGUGCUUUCCAAUCA